rnacentral:rRNA from 1 species
UACAGAGGUGGCAAGCGUUGUUCGGAAUUACUGGGCGUAAAGGGCGCGUAGGCGGUCCUACAAGUCCCGCGUGAAAGCCCCCGGCUCAACUGGGGAAUGGCGCGGGAAACUGUUGGGCUUGAGUUCGGGAGAGGGAAGCGGAAUUCCGGGUGUAGCGGUGAAAUGCGUAGAUAUCCGGAGGAACACCGGUGGCCGAAGGCGGCG